UGGGGAAUUUUGCGCAAUGGGCGUAAGCCUGACGCAGCAACGCCGCGUGGGGGACGAAGGCUCUUGGGUCGUAAACCCCUGUCGGCAGGGACGAAUGAGCAAGUAGCUAAUAUCUACUUGCAGUGACGGUACCUGCGGAGGAAGCACCGGCUAACUACGUGCCAGCAGCCGCGGUAAUACGUAGGGUGCUAGCGUUGUUCGGAAUCAUUGGGCGUAAAGCGUGCGUAGGUGGAUUUGUAAGUCAGGUGUGAAAUCCCACGGCUUAACUGUGGAAUUGCACUUGAAACUAUAAGUCUUGAGGAUGGUAGAGGGAAAUGGAAUUCCUGGUGUAGAAGUGAAAUUCGUAGAUAUCAGGAGGAACACUCGUGGCGAAGGCGGUUUCCUGGGCCAUUCCUGACACUGAGGCACGAAAGCGUGGGGAUCAAACAGG
rnacentral:rRNA from 1 species